UUCUGCUACAUCUUGCAAGGUAGGAAGGAAGUGCCCUUAGGAUUUGGGAACAGGAAGUUACUGGAAGCCAGCCCAAGAUGGACCCUGUUGGAGAAGCAGCUCUGAUGCACCAACUGAUAUCGUGCUGGAAAAAUAACACACUGCAAUGGAUCAAAGGACCAAAGGAAAGAUGAGAAGUUCCCUGAGAACUGAGCCCCGGGGCUGCUGCCCCUGAGGAGCAGGGUAAGGGCUGUGUGUGCUCAGGGGCCCUGGCUGAAGGCUGCAGGUGCUGUGAGUGUGUGCUGGGCCAAGGCAGCCAAGGUGUGUGCAGCUGUUCCGUGCCCUCCACCCUUGGAGGUAAAAUUCCACAGCCUUGAGCUGUUGGGUCCCAAAUGAUAUUGGAGGGAGAGGCAGAAAAUGCCACUGCUGCUGGGGCUGAACUGUGUGCAGUGACUGGGCAGGACUUGGCCCUGAUGUCUGAGUGCAUCUUUGGGAUAGAUCCCAACUGUGAGCCCCUGGCUCCAUAACUUGUUAAGAUGGUGUUCCUGCCAGCCCAGCUGCUGUGUUGGUGGUCCUGUGGGCACCUCUUGCCCUGGCCUGCUGUGAAUGUGUUUGUGUUGCAGCUCAAUAAAGUCCCUUUCAGUGGUGA